GUGCUCGCUUCAGCAGCACAUAUACUAAACUUGGAACGAUACAAGGAAGAUUAGCAUGGCCCCUGCACAAGGAUGACAUGCAAAUUCGUGAAGUGUUACAUAUUUUA
rnacentral:snRNA from 1 species